rnacentral:rRNA from 1 species
UACGUAGGGCGCAAGCGUUGUCCGGAUUUAUUGGGCGUAAAGAGCUCGUAGGCGGUUUGUCGCGUCUUCCGUGAAAACUGGGGGCUUAACUUCCAGCUUGCGGUGGAUACGGGCUGACUGGAGUGCGGCAGGGGAGACUGGAAUUCCUGGUGUAGCGGUGAAAUGCGCAGAUAUCAGGAGGAACACCGGUGGCGAAGGCAGCACUCUGGGACGGUACUGACGCUGAGACGCGAAAGCGUGGGGAGCGAACAGG